AACGAACGCUGGCGGCAGGCUUAACACAUGCAAGUCGAACGCAUCCUUCGGGGUGAGUGGCAGACGGGUGAGUAACGCGUGGGAACGUGCCCUUCAGUUCGGAAUAACCCAGGGAAACUUGGGCUAAUACCGGAUACGUGCGAGAGCAGAAAGAUUUAUCGCUGAAGGAUCGGCCCGCGUCUGAUUAGCUAGUUGGUGAGGUAAUGGCUCACCAAGGCGACGAUCAGUAGCUGGUCUGAGAGGAUGAUCAGCCACAUUGGGACCGAGACACGGCCCAAACUCCUACGGGAGGCAGCAGUGGGGAAUAUUGGACAAUGGGCGCAAGCCUGAUCCAGCCAUGCCGCGUGAGUGAUGAAGGCCUUAGGGUUGUAAAGCUCUUUCGUCCGGGACGAUAAUGACGGUACCGGAAGAAGAAGCCCCGGCUAACUUCGUGCCAGCAGCCGCGGUAAAAC
rnacentral:rRNA from 1 species